AUGGUGCUUCAUAUAACAUUAUCCAGAGAAACCAAUGUUAAUGAUAAAUCCCCUGUUAUGUUUGUACUGGCUACUGUAUACAGGCCACCAGGGCACCAUACAGACUUUAUUAAAGAGUUUGGUGAUUUUACAUCCGAGUUAGUUCUGGCUGCAGAUAAAGUUUUAAUAGUUGGUGAUUUUAAUAUCCAUGUCGAUAAUGAAAAAGAUGCAUUGGGAUCAGCAUUUAUAGACAUUCUGAACUCUAUUGGUGUUAGACAACAUGUUUCAGGACCUACUCAUUGCCGAAAUCAUACUCUAGAUUUAACACUGUCACAUGGAAUUGAUGUUGAUAGUGUUGAAAUUAUUCAGCCAAGUGAUGAUAUCUCAGAUCAUUAUUUAAUUCUGUGUAAACUUCAUAUAGCCAAAAUUGUAAAUUCUACUUCUUGUUACAAGUAUCGAAGAACCAUCACUUCUACCACAAAAGACUGCUUUUUAAGUUAUCUUCCUGAUGUAUCCAAAUUCCUUAGCAUAUCCAAAACCUCAGAACAACUUGAUGAUGUAACAGAAACUAUGGACUCUCUCUUUUCUAGUACUUUAAAUACAGUUGCUCCUUUACGCUUAAGGAAGGUUAAGGAAAACAGUUUGACACCAUGGUAUAUUGAGCAUACUCGCACCCUAAAGAGAGCAGCCCGAAAAAUGGAGCUCAGCUGGAGGAAAACAAAACUAGAGGUAUUUCGUAUUGCUUGGCGGGAAAGUAGCAUAUCCUAUAGAAAAGCAUUAAAAACUGCUAGAUCUGAUUACUUUUCUUCUCUUUUAGAAGAAAACAAACAUAACCCCAGGUAUUUAUUCAAUACAGUGGCUAAAUUAACGAAAAAUAAAGCCUCAACAAGUGUUGACAUUUCCCAACACCACAACAGUAAUUACUUUAUGAAUUACUUUACUUCUAAAAUCGAUACUAUUAGAGAUAAAAUUGCAACCAUUCAGCCGUCAGCUACAGUAUCACAUCAGACAGUGCACUAUAGACCCCCUGAGGAACAGUUCCACUCAUUCUCUACUAUAGGAGAGGAAGAAUUGUAUAAACUUGUUAAAUCAUCUAAACCAACAACAUGUAUGUUAGACCCUAUACCAUCUAAGCUCCUAAAAGAGGUGCUUCCAGAAGUCAUAGGUCCUCUUCUGACUAUUAUUAAUUCCUCAUUGUCAUUAGGAUAUGUCCCCAAAACCUUCAAACUGGCUGUUAUUAAGCCUCUCAUCAAAAAACCACAACUUGACCCCAGAGAACUUGUUAAUUAUAGACCAAUCUCGAAUCUCCCUUUUCCUGUCCAAGAUACUAGAAAAGGCGGUAUCCUCACAAUUAUAUUCCUUCUUAGAGAAAAAUGGUAUAUGUGA
ensembl:lncRNA